AAACCUUCAACAAUUGGCUUCUUCAAGAAUGGGAAAUGUUGGGAAUGACAAUGCAAUUUGAAGUGGUGGAUUCUCCAAUCAAACAGCUAGUUUGGGAGUCGUUCUUUUUCCCUCAUAUUUUACUAAAAAAUGUUGUAGUCACUUUACAGAUCAGUUUGGACGAUGG